rnacentral:tRNA from 1 species
AGGGAUGUAGCUCAGUGGUAGAGCACUUGCUUAGCAUGCAUGAUGCCCUGGGUUCAAUCUCCCCUAGCACUG